UACGGAGGGUGCGAGCGUUGUUCGGAAUCACUGGGCGUAAAGGGCGUGUAGGCGGUCCGCUAAGUCUGAUGUGAAAGCCCGGGGCUCACCCCCGGAAGUGCAUUGGAAACUGGCGAACUCGAGUCCCGGAGAGGAGAGUGGAAUUCCUGGUGUAGCGGUGAAAUGCGCAGAUAUCGGGAGGAACACCAAUUGCGAAGGCAGCUCGCUGGGACGUAACUGACGCUGAGACGCGAAGGCGUGGGGAGCAAACAGG
rnacentral:rRNA from 1 species